rnacentral:rRNA from 1 species
UACGUAGGGGUGCGAGCGUUUAAUCGGAAUUACUGGGCGUAAAGUGUGCGCAGGCGCAAAGCAAGUCGAGUGUGAAAGCCCCGGGCUUAACUUGGGAAUUGCGCUCGAAACUACUUUGCUGGAGUGUGGCAGAGGAAGGUGGAAUUCCACGUGUAGCGGUGGAAAUGACGUAGAGAGUGUGGAGGAACACCAAUGGCGAAG